rnacentral:miRNA from 1 species
AUAAGCUUUUGUGUGGUAUAAGCUUUCAUGUGCAUGCACACUUCUUCAGGUAUCUUAAGAAGCGUGCAUGCACACGAAAGCUUAUACCAAGAACAAACUUACUUGG